GGAUGUGAGGGUGAUCUUGCUGCGACAUCUGUCACCCCAUUGAUCAUCAGGGUUGAUUUGGCUGAUCUGGCUGACUAGGCGGGUAUCCCCUUCCUCCCUCACCACUCCACGUGUGUCCCUCCUGAAUCUGUGCACUAGGUGGAAGUGGAUGACCAUCCCCAGUCAAGGAGGACCGGUCUUCAGUCAAGGAGGGCCCGUCUUCAGUAGCUGUGCACUCCUGCUAGAGCCUCCAAACAAACUCUCAGAAUUUUUUCAGUCUUAUGUUCAACCCCUCAUUAAAAUGUUCAUAGAGAAAACACAUUU
rnacentral:snRNA from 1 species